CGUAAACAAAGGGAAGCGAGCAUGUGAAUGUGAGCAAAUCCCAAAAAUAACGUCUCAGUUCGGAUUGUAGUCUGCAACUCGACUACAUGAAGCUGGAAUCGCUAGUAAUCGCGAAUCAGAAUGUCGCGGUGAAUACGUUCCCGGGUCUUGUACACACCGCCCGUCACACCAUGGGAGUCAGUAACGCCCGAAGCCGGUGACCCAACCAAACGGAGGGAGCCGUCGAAGGUGGGACCGAUAACUGGGGUGAAGUCGUAACAAGGUACC
rnacentral:rRNA from 1 species